rnacentral:rRNA from 1 species
AUGCACGCUGGCGGCGUGCCUCACCCCUGCCAGUCGAACGGAGUCGUUUUGGAAAUCUCUUCGGAGAUGGAAUUCUCGACUUAGUGGCGGACGGGUGAGUAACGCGUGAGCAAUCUGCCUUUAAGAGGGGGAUAACAGUCGGAAACGGCUGCUAAUACCGCAUAAAGCAUUAAAUUCGCAUGUUUUUGAUGCCAAAGGAGCAAUCCGCUUUUAGAUGAGCUCGCGUCUGAUUAGCUAGUUGGCGGGGUAACGGCCCACCAAGGCGACGAUCAGUAGCCGGACUGAGAGGUUGAACGGCCACAUUGGGACUGAGACCACGCCCAGACUCCUACGGGAGGCAGCAGUGGGGAAUAUUGCGCAAUGGGGGAAACCCUGACGCAGCAACGCCGCGUGAUUGAAGAAGGCCUUCGGGUUGUAAAGAUCUUUAAUCAGGGACGAAACAAAUGACGGUACCUGAAGAAUAAGCUCCGGCUAACUACGUG